CUCAUCCUGGGCUUUUUUUUGGAUGGGAGACUUUUGAUGACCAUUUCUACUUCCUUAGGGGAUAUAGGACUAUUUAAUUGAUUUACCUGGUCUUGAUUCAGCUUUGGUACAGCCCUCUUGAAGAACCUGCUGAUUCCCUAGCUGUGGGGUUUUCUCCCAACAGGAAAACUCAGUCUGGUACUCUGGGGCACACAGUUCUGUCUGGCUUUCCUCUCACCUGGCAACCACAAACGCUGGUGUUUUGAGUCCCUGAGUUCAGUCUCCUGGUUGCUGUGCCAACACUGCUGUCCUGCUCCUCAGACACGGUGUCCUCCCGGCGCCGCCAUCUUGUCACACCUCCAGCUUCUUCAGGUCUGUGGAUUAUCGUACGGUUAUCCUGUAUUAUAUGGCUAAUAUCCGCUUAUAAAGCCAAAGAACUUUCCUUUUAAAAGAUGCUUACUGCAAACAAAUGGCCAAAGCUCUAAAUCCACUUACAAAAUACCUGCUUUUGCACUGCCUUUUCUUCAUGAGACAUGGCACAGUCUGUCCAGCAGGAAAUCUGUUCAGAACAUUACAAUAACAUCAGGCCCGUUUCCCCGGAAGAGGGGCCCACUUCCACUGGACGUCUAGGCUGAUGAUGGAUGGACUUGUAAUUUUUCUGCCAAUGUGUCACCAGUAGCUGCAUUGGGUUAUGCUCAUUUAUUUCAAAAUGACUUAACCCUAACCUACUCUAAUAUUAAUGUUUUAUUAAGUUUCUUUGGCUCUUUUCUUUCCUUUUUCCUUCUUCAGAAAUCCAAGAGUCCAGAAUAUUUCUCAGUUGUGGUUUUUCUCCAUUCAAACAACUUAGAAUACUAUGCUUGAAUCAACAACCAAAAUCACACUUGCUUCCUGUAGUCAGAAACUCCAAGAGCCACUAAGAACUUUCAACUGGUGUUUAUAGAAGAUGCUGGC